rnacentral:misc_RNA from 1 species
AGUUCUCAAUCUCGAAUACCCAGGUGAGUGUUUAGGUGAUUGACUAACUUGUUUGUUAUAUAUAUUCAAAUAGUUCUAUGUGUGGGUUUUGAUUGUGCUAGCUAGCUUGCUCAGAUGGUUAAUUGGUAUAAAUUUCUUGGACGGAUCUUUCCUGUUUGUUCUGCUUUGCUUGUCGUUUGACAAUAGAAUUGAAAGCAAUCAAUUUUUU